rnacentral:rRNA from 1 species
GACGAACGCUGGCGGCGUGCUUAACACAUGCAAGUCGAACGGUAAGGCCCUUCGGGGUACACGAGUGGCGAACGGGUGAGUAACACGUGGGUGAUCUGCCCUGCACUUCGGGAUAAGCCUGGGAAACUGGGUCUAAUACCGGAUAGGACCACUGCCUGCAUGGGUGGUGGUGGAAAGCUUUUGCGGUGGGGGAUGGGCCCGCGGCCUAUCAGCUUGUUGGUGGGGUGAUGGCCUACCAAGGCGACGACGGGUAGCCGGCCUGAGAGGGUGACCGGGCACACUGGGACUGGGAUACGGCCCAGACUCCUACGGGAGGCAGCAGUGGGGAAUAUUGCACAAUGGGCGCAAGCCUGAUGCAGCGACGCCGCGUGAGGGAUGACGGCCUUCGGGUUGUAAACCUCUUUCAGCACCGACGAAGCGCAAGUGACGGUAGGUGCAGAAGAAGGACCGGCCAACUACGUGCCAGCCGCCGCGGUAA